rnacentral:rRNA from 1 species
AGUCUGGUGCCAGUAGCCGCGGUAACUCCAGCUCCAAUAGCGUAUAUUAAAGUUGUUGCGGUUAAAACGUUCGUAGUUGAACUUGUGCUUCAUACGGGUAGUAUAACUAUAAUUGUAGUCUGUACUAUACCUUAUGUAUGUAAGCGUAUUACCGGUGGAGUUCUUAUAUAUAUUAAAUACUUGUAUUUAUAUGUAUUCCUCCUAUUUAAACCUGCUUCAGUGCUCUUCAUUGCGUGCUGUUGUAGGCCGGUACAAUUACUUUGAACAAAUUAGAGUGCUUAAAGCAGGCUCCAAAUGCCUGAAUAUUUUGUGCAUGGAAUAAUGAAAUAAGACCUCUGUUCUACUUUCAUUGGUUUUUAGAUCAAGAGGUAAUGAUUAAUAGAAGCAGUUUGGGGGCAUUAGUAUUACGACGCGAGAGGUGAAAUUCUUGGACCGUCGUAAGACUAAUUUAAGCGAAAGCAUUUGCCAAAGAUGUUUUCAUUAAUCAAGAACGAAAGUUAGGGGUUCGAAGGCGAUCAGAUACCGCCCUAGUUCUAACCAUAAACGAUGCCAGCUAGCAAUUGGGUGUAGCUACUAUUAUGGCUCUCUCAGUCGCUUCCCGGGAAACCAAAGCUUUUGGGCUCCGGGGGAAGUAUGGUUGCAAAGCUGAAACUUAAAGGAAUUGACGGAAGGGCACCACCAGGAGUGGAGCCUGCGGCCUAAUUUGACCCAACACGGGAAAACUUACCAGGUCCGAACAUAAGCGUGUAAGACAGAUUGAUAGCUCUUUCUCGAAUCUAUGGGUGGUGGUGCAUGGCCGUUCUUAGUUCGUGGAGUGAUUUGUCUGGUUAAUUCCGAUAACGAACGAGACUCAAAUAUAUUAAAUAGAUGCUUUCAGGAUUAUGGUGUUUGAAGCUUUUAUAGCCUUCAUUCAUGAAUGCAGUAACAUGUGUGAGUGUUUGAAUGUGUUUAUAAAGGUGGAGCCGUACCUGUUGGUUUGUCCCAUUAUAAGGACACUAGCUUCUUAAAUGGACAAAUUGCGUCUAGCAAUAAUGGGAUUGAGCAAUAACAGGUCUGUGAUGCCCUUAGAUGUCCUGGGCUGCACGCGCGCUACAAUGAAAGUAUCAACGUGUAUUUCCUAGACCGAGAGGUCCGGGUAAACCGCUGAACCACUUUCAUGCUUGGGAUUGUGAACUGAAACUGUUCACAUGAACUUGGAAUUCCCAGUAAGUGUGAGUCAUUAACUCGCAUUGAUUACGUCCCUGCCCUUUGUACACACCGCCCGUCGCUACUACCGAUUGAAUUAUUUAGUGAGGUCUCCGGACGUGAUCACUGUAACGCCUUGCGUGUUACGGAUGUUUCGCAAAAGUUGACCGAACUUGAUUAUUUAGAGGAAGUAAAAGUC